CUCCGCCGCUGCCAGCCCGGCUCUGCGAGGUCGUCGAGGAAAGCGAGGGCGGCCUGUGUGCGCGGCGGGUGUGUGGGGAGAACCGAGCCGUGAGAUGGAGGAGCCCCGGCUGGAAGAUGCGCGUUGUCAGACGCACAGAGCGGGGCUUUGCGGCCUGCACUGCUCACCCCGCACCGCACGGCUGGUUUCCUCCCGGCCACCCUUAUUGCAUAUAAACGGCAAAGAAUUUCCAGCUCUGUGCUGUGAAUCGUUAACCGGGAAACCCUCCAGGUACACAGGAACUGCUGCAGUGCUGCAGUCAGAUGUUACUUCGUCCUGUGAAGGAUGCACAUCUCCCUCACCAGCCAGCCCCACAGCACCUCGUGGGAACCCUUUGCGGUGCAGCUCCGUGAUGCUUCUCUUCAGGUUAUUGGGAACAACCUCCCCCAGGGCUCGGUCUGCUGCUAUCUGCUCCUGAUCAAAGGAUGCCAGAGGUGGUUUCCAGGCAGAAGACUGGCUUACGCAGCCUGUAAGCCAUCACAAGCACCAUAGAGGCCUUCUCCUGGGUGCCCUGCAGACACUGCUGCCCACCGGCCGCCAUCUGAAAGCUCACCGAUACCUGCUGGAAGCAGCAAGCUCACCCUGCAUGGUGACCCUGCAGAUUAACUGAGCUGAUGAGGUUCACUGAUGGCAGCGGGGCUCAGCUGAAAAGUUGAAGUUACAUGAUUAAAAGGUUUGAGUCUCUAACGCACACACUGGAUCGAUGAAUUAUCUUAAUAGCUAUCUUGUGAAAAUGUGAUGAUAAGCUUGGCCUCACGCGGUGAUAGCAGACUUUUUCCUACCUAACUUUUCGUUAUGAGUCUCAUACUUCUGCUAUGUAUGUGGAAGACACACAUUUCAAAUUCUUGAUUAACUUGGAUCAGUCUUAAGAUUCAGCAUUCGUUUCCCUGUAUCUUUUCAAAGUGCCAGGCAACCUAUUUCAGGAGUAUGAUCUAGUGUGAUUCAGGAAGUAUGAUCUGGUGUCCAAAGGUUAUCCCAGCCUACUUAAUUGCAAGAUUGUAUGCAAUUAAAGUGGAUGUCCCUUGUAAACAACUUGCUCAUUGUUUUAUAAUCUCUGAAGAGUUUGCUUUUCAGCACAAAUUUUUUUAAAGCAGGCUGUCAAUUUAUGACGUUACUACUGUAACAAGCAGCUCUUGUUUCCAGAUUAAGUAUUAAGGCCCAAUCCAAAUCCCCUUAAACUCAAGAAGAAUGUUUUCAUUUAGGUAGUGGAUUGGGCUGCAGAAACAGGACGGCCCUUUGACUCAGCAGGUGACCUGUAUGUGAGGGUGAAGGCACACGCUGGGAGAAAGCUGCCCUGCUUUUUCCUCUGAUAUAUUUUUGCUAUAGAUGAAGAAUGGAUGUAGUUGCUAAACCGGUCAGAAACACUUAAAAACAAAUUAUGAUUUAAGAGAGUGGCAGAUACUCCUGCAGAACAAGUAUUACUAAGACACCUGAAACUGAAUAUAUAAAAAAAAAGUGGAAAUGUUUGGGUCAAGAAAAUGAACACUGUGGGAAAAAAGCAUGAAGGAAGUGUAGGGGUAAAGAAAAUGCCAUCCUUUUACAGGCUACAGCUGAACUUAAAACCUUGACUUUAUUACUACCUUUCUACCCCUUUCCUUUUUACAGUGCUGUCCUUUGGAUUUACAUUCAUGUAUCACUCUCUUCCAAAGAUGAGAAAUAUGCUGUGACUUCUUCCUUCAUGGUAAUACCUCGUGUAACUGUGCUACUUUAGGGCAUUUGUGUGUCCUUAAGCAAAACCUGAAUUUGACGUUUGGGGAAACUUUGUAGUUUGAGAAGUUUGGUCAGAACUCUAACAUCAGCAUCCUCAAAACUGUCCUGGAGAUAAAAAGCCUGCACUUAAAACGGGAGGAUCCUCAGUAGAUGGCUAAAUAGGUUUGCUUUUUCCAAGCGAAAAUAAAUGACUCCCCAGUUCAA